AACGAACGCUGGCGGCAUGCCUAACACAUGCAAGUCGAACGGGAUCCUAGCUUGCUAGGUGAGAGUGGCGGACGGGUGAGUAACACGUGGGAAUCUGCCUUUUGGUUCGGGAUAACCGCGGGAAACUGCGGCUAAUACCGAAUGCCCUCGAGAGAGGAAAGAUUUAUCGCCAGAAGAGGAGCCCGCAUCCGAUUAGGUAGUUGGUGGGGUAAAGGCCUACCAAGCCGACGAUCGGUAGCUGGUCUGAGAGGAUGAUCAGCCACACUGGGACUGAGAUACGGCCCAGACUCCUACGGGAGGCAGCAGUGGGGAAUAUUGGACAAUGGGGGCAACCCUGAUCCAGCAAUGCCGCGUGAGUGAUGAAGGCCUUAGGGUUGUAAAGCUCUUUUGCCAGGGAAGAUGAUGACUGUACCUGGAGAAUAAGCCCCGGCUAAACUUCGUGCCAGCAGCCGCGGUAAU
rnacentral:rRNA from 1 species